AGUUAUAUUCAUGUCCAUUUGGAAAGCCGGAAGAAAUUGUCGAUGGGAAGUGUUCUUACAACAAAAACAAGUUACCUGCAGAUGAAACAGAUCUACUUGCACCGCCAAUACAUGCGUUUGUCAAAGUUGGAGAUGAAUGUUUUGACUGGACCCAGGAUGAUCUUGUGAAUACUUAUAAGUGUGAUCAUCCAAGUUUCCAUUGCUGUCGUGAAUCUAGAAGUAUAAGCGACAAAGGAAGAACAACAUGUGCUAAUGAAAUACCAAUUUUCAUACGAACAUGGAGGAUUAUAGGAUUCAAAUACUUACUUUGGGGAUUUGACAGUACAAGGUUUGCAGAUAUCUUUGUAGCUUUCCUAAGAAACUGUGGUACAAAUAGUGGACCUUUCCAACUGAACUUAAA